rnacentral:hammerhead_ribozyme from 1 species
GUACUGAUGAAGAGUCCCAAACAAGGUUGACGAAACAGCUGUCCAGUAC